GAUGAACGCUAGCGGCAGGCUUAACACAUGCAAGUCGAGGGGUAGAGGUUGCUUGCAACCUUGAGACCGGCGCACGGGUGCGUAACGCGUAUGCAACCUACCUUUUACAGAGGGAUAGCCCAGAGAAAUUUGGAUUAAUACCUCAUAGUAUAUAGUCUUCGCAUGUAGACUAUAUUAACGUUCCAACGGUAAAAGAUGGGCAUGCGUCCUAUUAGCUAGAUGGUAAGGUAAAGGCUUACCAGGGCAACGAUAGGUAGGGGUCCUGAGAGGGAGAUCCCCCGCACUGGUACUGUGACACGGACCAGACUCCUACGGGAGGCAGCAGUGAGGAAUAUUGGACAAGGGGCGCAAGCCUGAUCCAGCCAUGCCGCGUGCAGGAAGAAGCAUCUAUGGUGUGUAAACUGCUUUUGUACGGGAAGAAACACUCCGACGUGUCGGAGCUUGACGGUACCGUAAGAAUAAGGAUCGGCUAUCUCCGUGCCAGCCGCCGCCGUAAAAC
rnacentral:rRNA from 1 species